rnacentral:rRNA from 1 species
GACGAACGCUGGCGGCGUGCUUAACACAUGCAAGUCGAACGGAAAGGCCCUGCUCUUGCUGGGUUCUCGAUUGGCGAACGGGUGUGUAACACGUGAGUAUCCUGCCCUUGUCUUUGUGAUAACUUUACGAAAAUCCGGCUCAUACCGCAUAGGAGCUCCUGAUGCAUGUUGUUGGUUAGUAAGUUACGGCGGUUGGGGAUGGACUCGCGGCUUAUCAGCUUGUUGGUGAAGUAGUGGCUUACCAAGGCUUUGACGGGUAGCCUGCCUGAGAGGGUGACGGGCGACAUUGGGACUGAGAUACGGCCCAGACUGCUACGGGAGGCAACAGUGGGAAAUAUUGCAGAAUGGGCGGGAGCCUGAUGCAGCAGCGCCGCGUGCGGGAUGACGGCCUUCGGGUUGUAAACCGCUUUCGCCUGUGACGAAGCGUGAGUGACGGUAAUGGGUAAAGAAGCACCGGCUAACUACGUG